GAUGAACGCUGGCGGCGUGCUUAACACAUGCAAGUCGAACGAUGAAGCGGUGCUUUCACUGUGGAUUAGUUACGAACGGGUGAGUAAUACGUGAGUGACCUACCUUUGACUCUGGGAUAAGCCUGUGAGACUGGGUCUAAUACCGAAUACGACCAAUCUCUGCACGGAGGGUUGGUUGAAGGCGGUAUGUUGUGGUGUUAGAUGGGUUUACGGCCUAUCAGCUUGUUGGUGAUGUAAUGGCAUACCAAUGCGACGACAGGUAGCCGGCAUGGGAGGGUGAACGGCCACACUGGGACUGCGAGAGGGAGCAGACGGGUACCGGAGGCAGCAGUGGAGAGUAUUGCAGAGUGGGGGCGAGCGUGAUGUAGCGGUGCUGGGUGCGGAAUAACGGCUUACGGGGUGUGAACAUAUGUUAGAGUAGAAGAAGAGAAAGUGACGGUAGGUGAAGAGAAAGCGACGGCUAACUACGUG
rnacentral:rRNA from 1 species